CACUAAGAAGCUAAAUCGGACAUCAGCAUUAGCCUUUUAAGCUAAAGAGUGGUGGUCUCCAACCACCCUUAGUGA
rnacentral:tRNA from 1 species